rnacentral:rRNA from 1 species
AACGAACGCUGGCGGCAGGCCUAACACAUGCAAGUCGAGCGAGCCCUUCGGGGCUAGCGGCGGACGGGUGAGUAACGCGUGGGAACGUGCCCUUCUCUACGGAAUAGCCUCGGGAAACUGAGAGUAAUACCGUAUACGCCCUUCGGGGGAAAGACUUAUCGGAGAAGGAUCGGCCCGCGUUGGAUUAGGUAGUUGGUGGGGUAAUGGCCUACCAAGCCGACGAUCCAUAGCUGGUUUGAGAGGAUGAUCAGCCACACUGGGACUGAGACACGGCCCAGACUCCUACGGGAGGCAGCAGUGGGGAAUCUUAGACAAUGGGGGAAACCCUGAUCUAGCCAUGCCGCGUGAGUGACGAAGGCCUUAGGGUCGUAAAGCUCUUUCGCUGGGGAAGAUAAUGACGGUACCCAGUAAAGAAACCCCGGCUAACUCCGUGCCAGCAGCCGCCGUAACAC